UACGUAGGGUGCGAGCGUUGUCCGGAAUUAUUGGGCGUAAAGAGCUCGUAGGCGGCUUGUCACAUCGGUUGUGAAAGCCCGGGGCUUAACCCCGGGUCUGCAGUCGAUACGGGCAGGCUAGAGUUCGGUAGGGGAGAUCGGAAUUCCUGGUGUAGCGGUGAAAUGCGCAGAUAUCAGGAGGAACACCGGUGGCGAAGGCGGAUCUCUGGGCCGAUACUGACGCUGAGGAGCGAAAGCGUGGGGAGCGAACAGG
rnacentral:rRNA from 1 species